rnacentral:rRNA from 1 species
GAGUNNNUUUNNNUAAGUCCAGAUGNGAAAAGNNCCCGGGGNUCCNNCCUNGGGANUUGCCAUUUUGAAACCUGGNNAACUAGAGNUACUGUUAGANGGGGGGUAGAAUUUUCAGGNNGUAGGCGGGUGAAAUGCCGUAGAGAUCUGAAAGGAAAUACCNNGUGGGCGAAGGCGGCCCCCCUGGACAGAUACUGACACUCAGAUGCGAAAGCGUGGGGAGCAAAACAGGAUUAGAUACCCCUGGUAGUCCACGCCGUAAACGAUGUCUACUUGGAGGUUGUGGCCUUGAGCCGUGGCUUUCGGAGCUAACGCGUUAAGUAGACCGCCUGGGGAGUACGGUCGCAAGAUUAAAGCUCAAAUGAAUUGACGGGGGCCCGCACAAGCGGUGGAGCAUGUGGUUUAAUNNAAUGCAACGCGAAGAACCUUACCUACUCUUGACAUCUACAGAAGCCAGCGGAGACGCAGGUGUGCCUUCGGGAACUGUAAGACAGGUGCUGCAUGGCUGUCGUCAGCUCGUGUUGUGAAAUGUUGGGUUAAGUCCCGCAACGAGCGCAACCCUUAUCCUUGUUUGCCAGCACUUCGGGUGGGAACUCCAGGGAGACUGCCGGUGAUAAACCGGAGGAAGGUGGGGACGACGUCAGGUCAUCAUGGCCCUUACGAGUAGGGCUACACACGUGCUACAAUGGCGCAUACAGAGGGCAGCCAACUUGCGAAAGUGAGCGAAUCCCAAAAAGUGCGUCGUAGUCCGGAUUGGAGUCUGCAACUCGACUCCAUGAAGUCGGAAUCGCUAGUAAUCGUGGAUCAGAAUGCCACGGUGAAUACGUUCCCGGGCCUUGUACACACCGCCCGUCACACCAUGGGAGUGGGCUGCAAAAGAAGUGGGUAGUUUAACCUUCGGGAGGACGCUCACCACUUUGUGGUUCAUGNCUGGGNNGAAGUCGUAACAAGGUAACCG